GGUAGUCCCGAGCUUAGGACUGACGGUUAAGGUAUGUCUUUUUUUUUUUAAGUGUUUGGAAUAUGUUCUGAUGUGUCGGUUGAUCUGAACAUCUUCUGUGGAUUUGGUAGUUUCCUACUACUUAUUUGGACGUCCUGCUCUAUUUUGGAUCUUGUAUUUCGUCAGGAAGUUGUCCCUGUUGAUUGCUUAUGCUUUUGCUGGCCGAAGAAUUGUUUUAGUGAUG
rnacentral:misc_RNA from 1 species